GUGGAUUAGAUACCCCAGUAGUCCACGCCGUAAACGAUGUCAACUAGCCGUUGGGAGCCUUGAGCUCUUAGUGGCGCAGCUAACGCAUUAAGUUGACCGCCUGGGGAGUACGGCCGCAAGGUUAAAACUCAAAUGAAUUGACGGGGGCCCGCACAAGCGGUGGAGCAUGUGGUUUAAUUCGAAGCAACGCGAAGAACCUUACCAGGCCUUGACAUCCAAUGAACUUUCCAGAGAUGGAUUGGUGCCUUCGGGAACAUUGAGACAGGUGCUGCACGGCUGUCGCCAACU
rnacentral:rRNA from 1 species